GUUGCUUCGGCGGGCCCGCCUCACGCCGGGGGCUUCUGCCCUCUGGCCCGCGCCGAAGACACCAUAUGUCUGAAGAUUGCAGUCUGAGCAAUUAGCUAAAUAAGUUAAAACUUUCAACAACGGAUCUCUUGGUUCCGGCAUCGAUGAAGAACGCAGCGAAAUGCGAUACGUAAUGUGAAUUGCAGAAUUCAGUGAAUCAUCGAGUCUUUGAACGCACAUUGCGCCCCUUGGUAUUCCGGGGGGCAUGCCUGUCCGAGCGUCAUUGCUGCCCUCAAGCACGGCUUGUGUGUUGGGCCCCGUCCUCCUUCCGGGGGACGGGCCCGAAAGGCAGCGGCGGCACCGCGUCCGGUCCUCGAGCGUAUGGGGCUUUGUCACCCGCUCUUGUAGGCCCGGCCGGCGCUUGCCGACAACCAUCAAUCUUUUUUCAGGUUGACCUCGGAUCAGGUAGG
rnacentral:rRNA from 1 species